rnacentral:rRNA from 1 species
CAGUAGCCGCGGGAAUACGUAGGUGGCAAGCGUUGUCCGGAAUUACUGGGCGUAAGGCGUGCGUAGGCGGUGAGUUAAGUCUGCUGUGAAAUCCCCGGGCUCAACCUGGGAAUGGCAGUGGAUACUGGCUCGCUAGAGUGUGUCAGAGGAUGGUGGAAUUUCCGGUGUAGCGGUGAAAUGCGUAGAUAUCGGAAGGAACACCGAUGGCGAAGGCAGCCCCCUGGGCCAACACUGACGCUCAUGCACGAAAGCGUGGGGAGCAAACAGGAUUAGAUACCCCAGUAGUCCCUGUCUCUUAUAC